rnacentral:lncRNA from 1 species
CCGAGGCCGAAAGGCUUCCCUAGAAGAGCUGCAGUCAGUCCACUCUGAAAGGCACGUGCUCCUCUACGGCACAAACCCACUCAGCCGCCUCAAACUGGAUAACGGGAAGCUUACAGGUAGGGAAGGGAGACAGAUGACAUCUGACCCUGAGUCGCCCCAAACUUGCCCAUCUCUCCCACUUGUGUGCUCUUGGCCCAGCUGAACCCCUUCAGCUUCCUGGAUAUUCCCAUGCCGGUUGCCGUAUCCCCUUGCCCGCAAUCCCCGUACCCCCUGUCAUCACCCGUCCGCGGUCCAUACCUCCAUAGUCCUCCCCGUCCCCGUUGCCCACCUCCACCUCCACAUCUCCCCGUACUGCCUCUCCCUGCAUAGCUAUUUAUCUUAGAGCAUCCGUGUUCCUUACUCACGUGACCUGGGCUUUUCCCCACAGGACUCCUGGCCCAGCGGACGUUUGUGAUGCUACCCUGUGGCGGGGUUGGGGUAAGUAUGCCUAGAGAU